CCUACGGGUGGCAGCAGUGGGGAAUAUUGGACAAUGGGGGCAACCCUGAUCCAGCCAUGCCGCGUGUGUGAAGAAGGCCCUCGGGUUGUAAAGCACUUUCAGUGAGGAAGAACGCCUGGUGGUUAAUACCCAUCAGGAAAGACAUCACUCACAGAAGAAGCACCGGCUAACUCCGUGCCAGCAGCCGCGGUAAUACGGAGGGUGCGAGCGUUAAUCGGAAUUACUGGGCGUAAAGCGCGCGUAGGUGGCUUGAUAAGCCGGUUGUGAAAGCCCCGGGCUCAACCUGGGAACGGCAUCCGGAAUUGUAAAGCUAGAGGGAAGGAGAGGAAGUUAGAUUUCCGGGGGUGGGGGUAAAAGGGGAGGGGUCGGGAAGGAAUACCGGGGGGGAGGGCGGCUUUUUGACCGGACAUUGCCACUGGGUUGCGAAGGCGGGGUAGCAAACAGGAUUAGAUACCCGGGUAGUC
rnacentral:rRNA from 1 species